rnacentral:rRNA from 1 species
GAUGAACGCUAGCUACAGGCUUAACACAUGCAAGUCGAGGGGAAACGAUAUUGGAAGCUUGCUUCUGAUAGGCGUCGACCGGCGCACGGGUGAGUAACGCGUAUCCAACCUGCCCAUCACUUGGGGAUAACCUUGCGAAAGUAAGACUAAUACCCAAUGACGUCUCUAGAAGACAUCUGAAAGAGAUUAAAGAUUUAUCGGUGAUGGAUGGGGAUGCGUCUGAUUAGCUUGUUGGCGGGGUAACGGCCCACCAAGGCGACGAUCAGUAGGGGUUCUGAGAGGAAGGUCCCCCACAUUGGAACUGAGACACGGUCCAAACUCCUACGGGAGGCAGCAGUGAGGAAUAUUGGUCAAUGGUCGGCAGACUGAACCAGCCAAGUCGCGUGAGGGAAGACGGCCCUACGGGUUGUAAACCUCUUUUGUCGGAGAGUAAAGUACGCUACGUGUAGUGUAUUGCAAGUAUCCGAAGAAAAAGCAUCGGCUAACUCCGUG